AAUGAACGCUGGCGGCAGGCCUAAACAUGCAAGUCGAACGCUGUAGCAAUACAGAGUGGCGCACGGGUGAGUAACAUGUGGGAAUAUGCCUAUUGGUACGGAACAACGUUUGGAAACGAACGCUAAUACCGUAUGGUCCCUUCGGGGGUAAAGAUUUAUCGCCAAUAGAUUAGCCCGCACUAGAUUAGCUAGUUGGUGAGGUAAGAGCUCACCAAGCCGACGAUCGGUAGCUGGUCUGAGAGGAUGAUCAGCCACACUGGGACUGAGAUACGGCCCAGACUCCUACGGGAGGCAGCAGUGGGAAUAUGGACAAUGGGGCAACCUGAUCCAGCAAUGCCGCGUGAGUGAUGAAGGCCUUAGGG
rnacentral:rRNA from 1 species